rnacentral:tRNA from 1 species
GGUGUAGCUCAAAGGUGGAGCGCUUGUCUAACAUGCAUGAGGCUCUGAGUUCCAUCCCCGGCACC